rnacentral:rRNA from 1 species
UGAGGAAGAUAAUGACGGUACUCAACAAGGAAGUGACGGCUAACUACGUGCCAGCAGCCGCGGUAAAACGUAGGUCACAAGCGUUGUCCGGAAUUACUGGGUGUAAAGGGAGCGCAGGCGGGCGAUCAAGUUGGAAGUGAAAUCCAUGGGCUCAACCCAUGAACUGCUUUCAAAACUGGUCGUCUUGAGUAGUGCAGAGGUAGGCGGAAUUCCCGGUGUAGCGGUGGAAUGCGUAGAUAUCGGGAGGAACACCAGUGGCGAAGGCGGCCUACUGGGCACCAACUGACGCUGAGGCUCGAAAGUGUGGGUAGCAAACAGGAUUAGAUACCCUGGUAGUCCACACCGUAAACGAUGAUUACUAGGUGUUGGGAGAUUGACCCUCUCAGUGCCGCAGUUAACACAAUAAGUAAUCCACCUGGGGAGUACGACCGCAAGGUUGAAACUCAAAGGAAUUGACGGGGGCCCGCACAAGCAGUGGAGUAUGUGGUUUAAUUCGACGCAACGCGAAGAACCUUACCAAGUCUUGACAUCCUCUGACGAACGUAGAAAUACGUUUUCUCUUCGGAGCAGAGAGACAGGUGGUGCAUGGUUGUCGUCAGCUCGUGUCGUGAGAAUGUUGGGUUAAAGUCCCGCAACGAGCGCAACCCUUAUGGUCAGUUACUACGCAAGAGGACUCUGGCCGGACUG